CUACUUACCUGGUGCUGGCGCCUCGGUGAUCACCGAGGACUCGCCGCCCGAGUGAGGCACGGGCAUUGCACUGCGCUCACGUUCCCCCCUGCCACUGUCCCACACUGGGGCAGAUGGGGCACGAAAAUGAC
rnacentral:snRNA from 1 species